rnacentral:rRNA from 1 species
ACUGAACGCUGGCGGCAGGCCUAACACAUGCAAGUCGAGCGAGCGGCGGACGGGUGAGUAAUGUAUGGGGAUCUGCCCGAUAGAGGGGGAUAACUACUGGAAACGGUGGCUAAUACCGCAUACUUCCCGAUGAACCCAUAUUGGGUUAGCUAGUAGGUGGGGUAAAGGCUCACCUAGGCAACGAUCUCUUGCUGGUCUGAGAGGAUGAUCGGCCACACUGGAACUGAGACACGGCCCAGACGCCUACGGGAGGCAGCAGUGGGGAAUAUGGCACAAUGGGCGAAAGCCUGAUGCAGCAAUGCGGCGUGUAUGAGGAAGUCCUUGGGGUUGUAAAGUACUUUCAGCGGGGAGGCGGUACCCGCAGAGAAAGCACCGGCUAACUACGUGCCAGCAGCCGCGGUAAUUC